UACGUAGGGGGCGAGCGUUGUCCGGAUUUAUUGGGCGUAAAGAGCGCGUAGGCGGUUCGUAAAGUCGGAUGUGAAAGUCCAGGGCUUAACCCUGGGAUGCCAUUCGAUACUUGCGGACUAGAGCACGGUAGGGGGAUCUGGAAUUCCUGGUGUAGCGGUGAAAUGCGUAGAUAUCAGGAGGAACACCGGUGGCGAAGGCGGGAUCCUGGACCGGUUGCUGACGCUGAGGCGCGAAAGCUGGGGGAGCGAACAGGAUUAGAAACCCCCAGUAGU
rnacentral:rRNA from 1 species